GGCUAAUACCGCAUAAUGUCUACGGACCAAAGCAGGGGCUCUUCGGACCUUGCACUAUCGGAUGAACCCAUAUGGGAUUAGCUAGUAGGUGGGGUAAAGGCUCACCUAGGCGACGAUCUCUAGCUGGUCUGAGAGGAUGAUCAGCCACACUGGGACUGAGACACGGCCCAGACUCCUACGGGAGGCAGCAGUGGGGAAUAUUGCACAAUGGGCGCAAGCCUGAUGCAGCCAUGCCGCGUGUAU
rnacentral:rRNA from 1 species